UCGAGAAUCUUCCACAAUGGGCGAAAGCCUGAUGGAGCGACGCCGCGUGAUUGAUGAAGUCCUUCGGGACGUAAAGAUCUUUUAUGAGGGAGGAAGUAAUUGACGUUACCUCAUGAAUAAGGGGCCGCUAACUCUGUGCCAGCAGCGGCGGUAAUACAGAGGCCCCAAGCAUUAUCCGGAAUCACUGGGCGUAAAGGGUGUGUAGGCGGUCGUGUUAGUCUUUCGUGAAAGGCUUUGGGCUUAACCCAGAGACCGCGGGAGAAACGGCACGACUUCGAGGACGCGAGAGGUAAGGGGAACUCAUGGUGUAGGGGUGAAAUCCGUUGAUAUCAUGGGGAACACCAAAUGCGAAGGCACCUUACUGGCGCGCUCCUGACGCUGAAACACGAAAGCGUGGGAAUCGAACGGGAUUAGAUACCCCCGUAGUCC
rnacentral:rRNA from 1 species